rnacentral:rRNA from 1 species
AUUGAACGCUGGCGGCAUGCCUUACACAUGCAAGUCGAACGGCAGCACGGGAGCAAUCCUGGUGGCGAGUGGCGAACGGGUAAGUAAAGUAUCGGAACGUGCCCAGUCGUGGGGGAUAACGUAGCGAAAGUUACGCUAAUACCGCAUACGAUCUAUGGAUGAAAGCGGGGGAUCGCAAGACCUCGCGCGAUUGGAGCGGCCGAUAUCAGAUUAGGUAGUUGGUGGGGUAAAGGCUCACCAAGCCGACGAUCUGUGGCUGGUCUGAGAGGACGACCAGCCACACUGGGACUGAGACACGGCCCAGACUCCUACGGGAGGCAGCAGUGGGGAAUUUUGGACAAUGGGCGAAAGCCUGAUCCAGCCAUGCCGCGUGCAGGAUGAAGGCCUUCGGGUUGUAAACUGCUUUUGUACGGAACGAAAAGGUUUGGCCUAAUAAGCUGAGCUCAUGACGGUACCGUAAGAAUAAGCACCGGCUAACUACGUGCCAGCAGCCGCAGUAA